UGGCCACAUCAUAAUUAAACUCCGCUUCAUAUAUGAUCACCAAAAUUAAACAACAUUGAGCCUGGUCAGUAUCUGGAUGAGUGACCACUUGGGAAUACCAGGUGUUGUAAG